UACAGAGGUGCCAAGCGUUAGGCGGAAUCACUGGGCUUAAAGCGUGUGUAGGCGGAAUGGUAAGUACCUUGUGAAAUCCCACGGCUCAACCGUGGAACUGCUCGGUAUACUGCUUUUCUUGAGCCACGUAGGGGCUGUCGGAACAAACGGUGGAGCGGUGAAAUGCGUAGAUAUCGUUUGGAACGCCAAAGGUGAAAACAGACAGCUGGGAGUGUGCUGACGCUGAGACACGAAAGCCAGGGGAGCGAACGGG
rnacentral:rRNA from 1 species